rnacentral:rRNA from 1 species
GACGAACGCUGGCGGCGUGCUUAACACAUGCAAGUCGAACGGAAAGGCCCUGCUUUUGUGGGGUGCUCGAGUGGCGCACGGAUGAGUUACCCGUGAGUAACCUGCCCCUGACUUUGGGAUAACUUCAGGAAACUGGGGCUAAUACCGGAUAGGAGCUCCUGCUGCAUGGUGGGGGUUGGAAAGUUAUGGCGGUUGGGGGUGGACUCGGGGCUUAUCAGCUUGUUGGUGGGGUAGUGGCGUAACAAGGCUUUGACGGGUAGGCGGCCUGGGAGGGUGACCGGGCAAAAUGGGGCUUAGAACAGGGCCAGAACCCUACGGGAAGCAAAAGUGGGGAAUAUUUCGCAAUGGGCGGAAGCCUGUGGCAGAAACGCCGCGUGCGGGAUAUCGGCCUUCUGGGUGUGAACCGCUUUCGCCGGUGACGAAGCGUGAAUGACGGUAAUGGGUAAAGAAGCAACGGCUAACUACGUG